rnacentral:lncRNA from 1 species
GCCAAGCCAGCGUGGGCAGGGUUUACCGGUCUCUUCAUAAAUAUAAAAGCAAUUCUUGGAUUCCAUUCUACAGUUGGCCCGUUUUGUAAGUUCUGCAUUAUAACUGCUAAAGUUGCUAAACAAAAACCCUUUAAAAUACUGACGAGACAAGAAAGAUUCAAACCUGCACUCUGAGCACUCACUGUCCAUGUUAACUUCACACAGGGAAAGGCACACUGGAGUGGAGCCAUGCACUCCUGAAGAGCUCCAGUGUUCUGUGCCAGGCCACUGUGUGACGGGACCUGAACAUGUGAGGCUCUGAUGUACGCACACUCAUCACAGCGCCUGGCCUAAUUUUUGUAUUUUUUGAGACAGAUCUCACUCUGUCAUCCUGGCUGGAGGGCAGCAGCAUGAUCACAGCUCGCUGCAGCCUCGAACUCCUGGGCUCAAGGGAUCCUCCCGCCUCAGCCUCCCAAGUAGCUGGUGUGACAGGUAUGCACUACCACACCUGGCUCAUUUUAAAAAUUUUUUUUUGUAGAGAUGAGGUCUUCCUAUGUUGCCAAGGCUGGUCUGAACACAGCCCUGGCUCAAUCCCUAGUCUCCUUUAAGCCAGUGUCUUCCUCAUCUCAACAAACAGACUCCAUCCUUCCGGCUGUUCAGCCCAAAGGCUCGGAGUCAUCUCUGACUCCUGUCUUUCCUUCUCACCCUGGAUCCAAUCCCUCAGCAAAUCUUGUUGGCACUCCAUAACAAUACUCUGAACACGCUCCAUGUGCUCCUUCUCCUUCCUCCUUCACGCCCCUGCUCAGACGUCACCCUCACUAUACUGACUCCCUGGCCUCCCUUCUUAAAAUUCUUAUUUCCCUGCUCACUCCACAACUCAGGGCCGCCCUGAGUCCCACUUCCAUGCUUAUUACCAUCUGACGUACAGGGAUCGUUUAAAAAUAUGUCCACAAACACUUUUAACACUCGUCCCUUUAAGAGGUGGAGGGUGAUUCUCACCCCAAACGCUGAGUGUGGGCAGGACUCAGCACCUCACUCAAAUGAACAGAAUAGAGAGGAAGUGAAGGCUGUGGCUUCCAAGACCAGGACUGGAAAAGCUGUGGGACUUUCUCCUCGCCCUCUCCUAGAGUACGGGCUGCUUGCAUCACAAUGCAAGGACCCUAGAGCAGCCCCGGUGGCCAGUUCCAAGUGGUGGGUGACGGCCCCGAGGCCUCCUGCCCCAGCUGGGUCUUUCUGUGGCUCCAGCCUUGCCAGAUUGAGCUGGGACUGUCCUGCUCUGCUGCUCCUGUGCUCACAGGAGCUGUGAACUACGAAAUGUUCACUGUUUUAAGCCACUGAGCUCCGUAGUAAUUUGUUCCACACCAAUAGUCAACACACACACACUACCAGACUCUAUCUGUCGACUGUUUGUGUCCUCUGGGAUGCAGGCAUUCUUCCUGUUUUAUUACACACUGCUGCAGGCCUAGGACUCUACAGGUCUGUAAUGGGGCCUGGCCCAAACUAGCUGUUGAGUGACGAUGGGGGCUAAAAUUAUACUUGCGUGUAUUGAAACAAAUGCUGCUGAACAGACCAAAGUAAGAAGGUAAACGUUCAAAGGUGAAU